AGGAAAUUUCCUAAAAAAAAUCCUUAAAGAGCAGGAAAUUUCCUUAAAAAAUCCUACCUCCCGGACCAACAA